rfam:Ornithorhynchus anatinus chromosome 4, whole genome shotgun sequence.
ACUCUCUCAGGGUCGCAUCUGGAGAGCUUCCAGUGGUCUACCAGUUUCGACUACAGGAGGGAGAGUCAAGCAGAGGCCUACCCAUUUCCAUUCCUAGUUUGGACAGCGGCUAGCGAGUGGAAGGCAAUCUGCUACAAGU